UACCCAUUGCAUAUCGGAGUUGUAAAUUCUCAAAACACCUCCUGUGUGCAUGGAUUGCA
ensembl:miRNA ocu-mir-660 ocu-mir-660